rnacentral:rRNA from 1 species
AUGCAUUGGUUGAGUUGGGAUAAAUUGACACAGACUAAAGCUAUGGGCGGCCUGGGGUUCCGAGAAAUGCACAACUUCAACAUUGCCAUGUUAUCUCGACAGGGUUGGAGGUUGAUUCAGAACCCGGAGAGUUUGUGCGCCAAGUUGCUCAAGGCUAGGUACUUUCCCCACUGUAGUGCCUUGGAGGCGAUCCCCCAUGAUGGCAUCUCAUAUUCCUGGCGGAGCAUUCUUCGCGGAUUAGAGCUUAUCAAGCAGGGGUAUAUUUGGCGAAUAGGUGAUGGUUCCAGCGUGGAUAUCUGGAAUGAUCCUUGGUUGCCAAGGCCUUGGUCGCGGCCGGUUAUCACACCUAGGGGACCAAGCCUGCUAACUCAUGUGGAGGAGCUAAUCUGUUCGAUUUCUGGUGGGUGGGACGAAAGACUUGUAAGAGAUACCUUUUGUGCCGAGGAUGCCAGGCUAAUUUUACAAAUCCCACUUAGGGACGGAGUGGACGAUUUCAUAGCAUGGCACUUCGACAGCAAAGGGAAUCAUUUUGUUAAAAGCGCAUACAAAGUGCAUGUCGAGCUACGCAGGCACGAGCAGAAUGGCGCCCCAGGGUCGAAUUCCUCUGCUGCUGGACAACUGGAAAGACAUACAGACCAAACAGGAAAUGGAUCUGGAAGAUGCCAUGUCCGAGGAAGCUACAGAUGUUCGUAUGGAGAAUCAGACAUGAAUCCCUGGCCAUAUGUGCGAACCUGCAGCGGAGAGGUAUUAAACUGGAGAACUCCAAAUGUUUGUUUUGUGGUAGGAAUGAGGAGGAUGGAGCACACCUAUUUAUUAAGUGCAAGCAUGUGA